rnacentral:snoRNA from 1 species
AUGUAUCUCGCUGACAGACCUGGAGCAGUUAAUGUCUCCUGCUAAGGUUUCUACCACAAAAACAAGAAAAAGAAGGUCUUCCCACUUUGUAUGUCUAGUUGUGGCAGCCAAGAUUGAAUGGGGGAAUACAGGA